rnacentral:rRNA from 1 species
AAGACCUUGCGCUUUUGGAGCGGCCGAUGCCUGAUUAGCUAGUUGGUGGGGUAAUGGCCUACCAAAGCUUCGAUCAGUAGCUGGUCUGAGAGGACGGCCAGCCACACUGGGACUGAGACACGGCCCAGACUCCUACGGGAGGCAGCAGUGGGGAACUUUGGACAAUGGGCGCAAGCCUGAUCCAGCCAUGCCGCGUGAGUGAAGAAGGCCUUCGGGUUGUAAAGCUCUUUCAGCCGGGAAGAAAAGGUUGCGAUUAAUAAUCGCAAUUUAUGACGGUACCGGAAGAAGAAGCACCGGCUAACUACGUGCCAGCAGCCGCGGUAAUACGUAGGGUGCGAGCGUUAAUCGGAAUUACUGGGCGUAAAGGGUGCGCAGGCGGUUUUGUAAGUCAGAUGUGAAAUCCCCGGGCUUAACCUGGGAACU